rnacentral:rRNA from 1 species
UACGUAGGGUGCAAGCGUUAUCCGGAAUUAUUAGGCGUAAAGAGCUCGUAGGCGGUUUGUCGCGUCUGCUGUGAAAACCCGAGGCUCAACCUCGGGCCUGCAGUGGGUACGGGCAGACUAGAGUGCGGUAGGGGAGAUUGGAAUUCCUGGUGUAGCGGUGGAAUGCGCAGAUAUCAGGAGGAACACCGAUGGCGAAGGCAGAUCUCUGGGCCGUAACUGACGCUGAGGAGCGAAAGCGUGGGGAGCGAACAGG